rnacentral:rRNA from 1 species
AAUACCUGAUAUUCUUUACAUUUCGCAUGAAAUCAAAAGGAAAGGUCAGCCGAACUAAGAUGAGCUCGCGUUCUAUCAGCUAGUUGGUGAGGUAAAAGCUCACCAAGGUUACGACGGAUAGCUGGUCUGAGAGGACGAUCAGCCACACUGGGACUGAUACACGGCCCAGACUCCUACGGUAGGCUGCAGCAGGGAAUAUUGCGCAAUGAGCGAAAGCUUGACGCAGCGACACCGCGUGUGGGAUGACGGAUCUAGGUUUGUAAACCACUUUCAGGAGGGAAGAAAAUGACGGUACC